GAGGGUAGAGCUCAGUGGUAGAGCACGUGCUUAGCACGCACAAGGUCCUGGGUUCAAUCCCCCGUGCCUCCU
rnacentral:tRNA from 1 species